GACGAACCGUGCGAACGUUGUUCGGAAUCACUGGGCUUAAAGGGCGCGUAGGCGGGCUGACAAGUCUGGGGUGAAAUGCCGCGGCUCAACCGUGGAACUGCCUCAGAUACUGUCGGCCUCGAGGAAGGUAGGGGCAUACGGAACUGUAGGUGGAGCGGUGAAAUGCGUUGAUAUCUACAGGAACUCCGGUGGCGAAAGCGGCGUGCUGGACCUUUUCUGACGCUGAGGCGCGAAAGCUAGGGGAGCAAACGGG
rnacentral:rRNA from 1 species